rnacentral:rRNA from 1 species
GACGAACCGUGCGAACGUUAUUCGGAAUCACUGGGCUUAAAGCGCGUGUAGGCGGGACGGCACGUCGGUCGCUGAAAGCCCCCGGCUCAACCGGGGAACGGGCGCCGAUACGACCGCCCUCGAGGAACGUAGGGGGACCUGGAACUUCCGGUGGAGCGGUGAAAUGCGUUGAGAUCGGAAGGAACGCCCGUGGCGAAGGCGGUUCUCUGGGACGGUACUGACGCUGAGAGCGAAAGCGUGGGGAGCGAACAGG